rnacentral:rRNA from 1 species
UAUGUAGGGGGCAAGCGUUGUCCGGAUUUAUUGGGCGUAAAGAGCGUGUAGGCGGUUAGUCGUCAGUCGUUGAGAAACUCGAGGCUCAACCUCGAGACGCCGAUGGAAACCAUCUGACUAGAGUCCGGAAGAGGAGAGUGGAAUUCCUGGUGUAGCGGUGAAAUGCGCAGAUAUCAGGAAGAACACCCGUGGCUAAGGCGGCUCUCUAGUACGUGACUGACGCUGAGACGCGAAAGCGUGGGGAGCGAACAGG